rnacentral:tRNA from 1 species
GCGGGGGUUCCCGAGCGGCUAAAGGGGCGGGACUCAAGAUCCCGUGGCUUAGGCCUACGUGGGUUCGAAUCCCACCCCCCGCA